rnacentral:misc_RNA from 1 species
AGCAGACUGUAGCGCGACAUAUAAUAAAUCUACAACCAUGACCAGCUCAGUUUCUUUUGCUGCUGAAAUAUGCUAAGACUCGCAUCUCAUUUCUCCAAUCAACUGAAUCACAUCGCUUAAUUUAGUAGUUACAUUUAUGAAAAUUCUUCAACACUUGCAGGAGUUGAGUUUCUUUCCUAUCCACGACAGAGAUUUCCACUGAUUCAGUGCCCUUCUACUCUGCGGUACUUAAUUUAU